rnacentral:rRNA from 1 species
AUACGGAGGAUGCGAGCGUUAUCCGGAUUUAUUGGGCGUAAAGGGUGCGCAGGCGGCCAUUUAAGUCAGCGGUUAAAUCGUGGGGCUCAACCCCAUUCUGCCGUUGAUACUGGGUGGCUUGAUUGCGGUCGAGGUUGGCGGAAUUCGUUGUGUAGCGGUGAAAUGCAUAGAUAUGACGAAGAACACCGAUUGCGUAGGCAGCUUACUGGACUGUAACUGACGCUGAUGCUCGAAAGUGUGGGUAUCAAACAGGAUUAGAUACCCUGGUAGUCCACACAGUAAACGAUGAAUACUCGCUGUUUGCGAUAUACGGCAAGCGGCCAAGCGAAAGCAUUAAGUAUUCCACCUGGGGAGUACGCCGGCAACGGUGAAACUUAAAGGAAUUGACGGGG